GGGGGAUAUUGCACAAUGGAGGAAACUCUGAUGCAGCAACGCCGCGUGAAGGAUGAAGGUCUUCGGAUUGUAAACUUUUGUACUUGGGGACGAUAAUGACGGUACCCAAGCAGCAAGCUCCGGCUAACUACGUGCCAGCAGCCGCGGUAAUACGUAGGGAGCAAGCGUUGUCCGGAUUUACUGGGUGUAAAGGGUGCGUAGGCGGCUAUGCAAGUCAGUUGUGAAAACUAUGGGCUCAACCCAUAGCCUGCAAUUGAAACUGCGUGGCUUGAGUGAAGUAGAGGUAGGUGGAAUUCCCGGUGUAGCGGUGAAAUGCGUAGAGAUCGGGAGGAACACCAGUGGCGAAGGCGACCUACUGGGCUUUAACUGACGCUGAGGCACGAAAGCAUGGGUAGCAAACAGGAUUAGAUACCCUGGUAGUCCAUGCCGUAAACGAUGAUUACUAGGUGUGGG
rnacentral:rRNA from 1 species